UGCAGGGAGAGCCGUGGCGGCUGGUCCCGCCGUCCUGCCGCGGCGGCCGGGCUGUGUGGGCGCCGUGGCAGCAACCUGUCCUCCACGCUCCUUUGGUCGGGAGUCAAUCAUUGAACAUGGCCUGUUAAGGAGACUGAAAAUGGGAAGACGUCCAAAAACUUAUGUAGGGCCUAUUGAGUUCUACACUGAAUUAAUUUUAAAGAGUGUGAAAUAUGGCACAGCAGGCUGCCGUGGGCUGCAUCCAACCAGGGACCUCUCUCCUGUGGUUCUGAGAAAGCCACGUUUGCUGCUGCUGCUGCCAGCACGGAAUGGUUUGAGGGCAAUGGCUUCCAAGAAGGAACAGUCCUCCAGAAGAGCAGCACCUGUCGUUCCUACCAGUGUGGCAGGAGCUGCACCUUUCCCUUUCCUUUUCCCUUUCCUUUUCCCUUCCAUUCCCCUUUCCUUCACUUCCCCUCCCCUUCCCUUUCCUUUGCCUUUCCUUUUGCCUUUGCCUUCCCUUUCCCUUUCCCUUCCCCUUUCUUUCCCUCUCCCCUCUGUAAGAUACAAUCCUGUCCCCAUUCCACAUCUCUAGAGCAACGUUCAAUUUCACAUACGCUUUUGAGGUACUCUGAGACAGCCUUAUUUCUCAUGUAAAUUUUAGAAUACAGAAAGUAUAUAAAGUCAACAAUGUUUUGA